rnacentral:rRNA from 1 species
AUACGGAGGAUCCAAGCGUUAUCCGGAAUCAUUGGGUUUAAAGGGUCCGUAGGUGGAUAAUUAAGUCAGAGGUGAAAUCCUGCAGCUCAACUGUAGCAUUGCCUUUGAUACUGGUUAUCUUGAGUUAUUAUGAAGUAGUUAGAAUAUGUAGUGUAGCGGUGAAAUGCAUAGAUGUUACAUAGAAUACCGAUUGCGAAGGCAGAUUACUAAUAAUAUACUGACACUGAGGGACGAAAGCGUGGGGAGCGAACAGGAUUAGAAACCCUAGUAGUCC